rfam:Rattus norvegicus chromosome 14, whole genome shotgun sequence.
GGGGAUUUGGCUCAGUGGUAGAGUGCUUGCCUAGCAAGCACAAGGCCCUGGGUACAGUCCCCA